rnacentral:rRNA from 1 species
UACGUAGGGGCCUAGCGUUGUCCGGAAUUAUUGGGCGUAAAGAGCUCGUAGGCGGUUCGGCAAGUCGGAUGUGAAAUCUCCACGCUUAACGUGGAGGGGCCAUUCGAAACUGCUGUGACUCGAGUCCGGUAGGGGAGUGUGGAAUUCCCGGUGUAGCGGUGGAAUGCGUAGAGAUCAGGAAGAACACCCGUGGCGAAGGCGGCACUCUGGGCCUGUACUGACGCUGAGACGCGAAAGCGCGGGGAGCGAACGGG